CAGUCGUACCUGCGGAUAAUCAGCUUUUUGAGUGUGAUUAUGUGGUUUAUGAGGAGUUUAACCGCCCUCAUGUUUUGCAUAUUCGUGCACAUUUGGUGUACUUGUCCGUGUGGUGGGUUAACAUCAAUUUCGGUCGUCAUAAAAUGACUGGAGGAAUGUAGCUUCGAUCUCGUAUUGAAGUGUUAUAGCCUUCGGUAGAUGUGAUGAUCGA
rnacentral:rRNA from 1 species